AAUUUGUGGUGCGAGUAUUUUGAAUAACCACUUUGAAAUAUUCUUAUACCUCAUGAAAACUUUCUCCCUCCAUCUGUCUAAAAAUAUUAAUCUCUUUUCUUAGUU
rnacentral:snoRNA from 1 species